GACGAACGCUGGCGGCGUGCCUAAUACAUGCAAGUUGAGCGAUGAAGAUUGGUGCUUGCACCAAUUUGAAGAGCAGCGAACGGGUGAGUAACGCGUGGGGAAUCUGCCUUUGAGCGGGGGACAACAUUUGGAAACGAAUGCUAAUACCGCAUAACAACUUUAAACAUAAGUUUUAAGUUUGAAAGAUGCAAUUGCAUCACUCAAAGAUGAUCCCGCGUUGUAUUAGCUAGUUGGUGAGGUAAAGGCUCACCAAGGCGAUGAUACAUAGCCGACCUGAGAGGGUGAUCGGCCACAUUGGGACUGAGACACGGCCCAAACGCCUACGGGAGGCAGCAGUAGGGAAUCUUCGGCAAUAGACGAAAGUCUGGCCGAGCAACGCCGCGUGAGUGAAGAAGGUUUUCGGAUCGUAAAACUCUGUUGGUAGAGAAGAACGUUGGUGAGAGUGGAAAGCUCAUCAAGUGACGGUAACUACCCAGAAAGGGACGGCUAACUACGUG
rnacentral:rRNA from 1 species